GUUGCAGACCAGAUACCUCUUGUCUCACUAAGACUGGAUUUCAAUGCACCACUUGAAAUGGGAGUCCAAAAACUGAACUGAAUAUCCUGGUUGCUUCCUGAAAAAAAUCAGGGUACCAAGAGAUUGGUGUUUCUCCUUUCUGCACUCUCAUUCCAUGAACACCGUCUAUCUGUGCUACCUUUUUGAACAGUUGAGCAUCACGUACCAAGAGGGACAUCGGGUUAAAAAAAAAAAAGAAAACUGCAACGUUUGGAUCUUUUCCUGCUUUAGAAGCAAGAAGAAUGGAAAAUUG